rnacentral:rRNA from 1 species
UACGUAGGGUGCAGGCGUUAAUCGGAAUUACUGGGCGUAAAGCGUGCGCAGGCGGUCUGCUAAGAGAGAUGUGAAAUCCCCGGGCUUAACCUGGGUACUGCGUUUCUAACUGGCAGGCUUGAGUGUGGCAGAGGGGGGUGGAAUUCCACGUGUAGCAGUGAAAUGCGUAGAGAUGUGGAGGAACACCGAUGGCGAAGGCAGCCCCCUGGGCUAACACUGACGCUCAUGCACGAAAGCGUGGGGAGCAAGCAGG